rnacentral:rRNA from 1 species
CGGUGUUGCUGGCCCUCAUAGGGGGCAUGUGCACGCUCUGUUUACACAUCCACUCACACCUGUGCAACCCCUCUGUAGUUCUAUGGUCUGGGGGACCCUGUCUUCCUUCUGUGGUUCUACGUCUUUACACACACACUGUAAUAAAGUUCUAUGGAAUGUACAUCGCGUCUAACGCAAUACAAUACAACUUUCAGCAACGGAUCUCUUGGCUCUCGCAUCGAUGAAGAACGCAGCGAAAUGCGAUAAGUAAUGUGAAUUGCAGAAUUCAGUGAAUCAUCGAAUCUUUGAACGCACCUUGCGCCCCUUGGCUAUUCCGAGGGGCAUGCCUGUUUGAGUAUCAUGAACACCUCAACUCUCAUGGUUUGCCAUGAUGAGUUGGACUCUGGGGGUUUUGCUGGCCUGUGGUCGGCUCCUCUCAAAUUAAUCAGCCUCCCAGUGUUUGGUGGCAUCACGGGUGUGAUAAAUAUCUACGCUCGCUGUUGUCUGCCAGGUAACCUUUGGUCACAAAGGUUUGCUGGAGCUCACAGAUGUCUCUCCUCAGCGAGGACAGCUUUUUUAACGUUCGAUCUCAAAUCAGGUAGGACUACCCGCUGAACUUAAGCAUAUCAAUAAGCGGAGGAAAAGAAACUAACAAGGAUUCCCCUAGUAACUGCGAGUGAAGCGGGAAAAGCUCAAAUUUAAAAUCUGGCGUGCCUCUGGUCGUCCGAGUUGUAGUUU